GGAAAAAAGACAAUCCAUAGGAGUAAUACACUCACUAGGGGAGAGAGACUCUACCAGGGACUCUCAUGGGGAUAGAAAAGAAGAUAAAAUGCGUGAGCAUGUCACGACUUGAAACUGGGGAGAAGAGUUUCCAAAGGGAAUAAAUCCAUUGGAAAGACUCGAACUGACUCAAAGAUGCAUGUAUUGGGGAAUAUGCCAACACAACAAAACUAUCCG
rnacentral:lncRNA from 1 species